AUUGAACGCUGGCGGCAGGCCUAACACAUGCAAGUCGAACGAAGUCUUCGGACUUAGUGGCGGACGGGUGAGUAACACGUGGGAACGUGCCUUUAGGUUCGGAAUAACUCAGGGAAACUUGUGCUAAUACCGAAUGUGCCCUUCGGGGGAAAGAUUUAUCGCCUUUAGAGCGGCCCGCGUCUGAUUAGCUAGUUGGUGAGGUAAAGGCUCACCAAGGCGACGAUCAGUAGCUGGUCUGAGAGGAUGAUCAGACACAUUGGGACUGAGACACGGCCCAAACUCCUACGGGAGGCAGCAGUGGGGAAUCUUGCGCAAUGGGCGAAAGCCUGACGCAGCCAUGCCGCGUGAAUGAUGAAGGUCUUAGGAUUGUAAAAUUCUUUCACCGGGGACGAUAAUGACGGUACCCGGAGAAGAAGCCCCGGCUAACUUCGUGCCAGCCGCCGCCGUAAUAC
rnacentral:rRNA from 1 species